rnacentral:rRNA from 1 species
GACGAACGCUGGCGGCGUGCCUAAUACAUGCAAGUAGAACGCAGUUGCGCACGGGUGAGUAACGUGUAGGUAACUGCCUGGUAGCGGGGGAUAACUAUUGGAAACGAUAGCUAAUACCGCAUACUUCCAGAUGGACCUGCGUUGUAUUAGCUAGUUGGUGGGGUAACGGCUCACCAAGGCAACGAUACAUAUCCGACCCGAGAGGGGGUACGGGCACACAGGGUCUGAGACCCGGCCCAGACUCCUGCGGGGGGCAGCAGUAGGGAAUCUUCGGCAAUGGACGGAAGUCGGACCGAGCAACACCGCGUGAGUGAAGAAGGUUUUCGGAUCGUAAAGCUAUGUUGUAAGAGAAGCGGUAUCUUACCAGAAAGGGACGGCUAACUACGUGCCAGCAGCCGCGGUAAUUC